rnacentral:rRNA from 1 species
AUACGUAGGGGGCGAGCGUUGUCCGGAAUGAUUGGGCGUAAAGGGCGCGUAGGCGGCCCGGUAAGUCUGGAGUGAAAGUCCUGCUUUUAAGGUGGGAAUUGCUUUGGAUACUGUCGGGCUUGAGUGCAGGAGAGGUAAGUGGAAUUCCCAGUGUAGCGGUGAAAUGCGUAGAGAUUGGGAGAAACACCAGUGGCGAAGGCGACUUACUGGACUGUAACUGACGCUGAGGCGCGAGAGUGUGGGGAGCAAACAGGAUUAGAUACCCCGGUAGUCCUGGCAGUAAACGAUGUAUGCUGGGUGUGGGAGUAGCGAUACCUCCGUGCCGAAGUUAACGCGAUAAGCAUACCGCCUGGGGAGUACGGUCGCAAGAUUGAAACUCAAAUGAAUUGACGGGG